GAUGAUCUCAGAAAGAAUAUCGUACUCAGCGCGGAUGUAUCUCUAGUUCUCUACUAAGGUAUUUUAUGGUUAGCUAGCUAAUGUCGAUCCUAUCGAAACUCCACAGCUUGCCUGUAAACACUAGCUUCCGAAUAUGCGUGUGGUUUGUAAAUGCCCUAAAAAUAACUUGCACGAGACAGUGACUGACAGUGCGAUCGAUACUGCUGUAUGAACACCUCCCACUAUAAUCGUGAUUGCCUGAUGCUGCUAUGCUACUGGCAAAAGUCUGAAAAUCUUCGCACCGAAGUUUUAGUCUUGUUUAUUUUUUGGAGUAAAUUCUUCUUGUUUGAGCUUGUUUUUCUCAAUGGGUCAUGUAUGUUGAUUCUUUGCAUGCAUCGUGCCGCUCGGCCUACUGGCAAAAGUCUGAAAAUCUGAAACAGGAGUUGAUGGAUUUUUGGAUCGUGCCGCUCGGCCUACUGGCAAAAGUCUGAAAAUCUGAAAGAGGAGUUGAUGGAUUUUUGGACUUAGAAGUUCGAACUCACCUUAUCUCGUACCCCUAAAAGAGAAACUUAUCUUUGUAGUCUUCUCUGCAAGACCAUGGGCUAGGGUAGCCCCUGCUUGUGCCAGCCAGAGACGCAUGGACCGAGUCCAUGUGCACCAAACCCCUCUUUCUCUUCCGCGAACCACAGAUCGCUCACGUCACGGCCACAAGGACAAAUCUGCGCAAAACCGUACCCCUCUUCGCCUCCGGAAGCAAGCAAGAUGCUCCGACGCCUCGCCGGCGCCGCCGCGGCGCCCCUCCGACGCUGCCUUUGCACGGCGUCCUCGCGCCCUCCCUGGGCCCUCACCUACAGGAUGGCGGCGCUGGGCGCGUCGGGGGCGCCGUCGCCGGCCGCGCGCGCGUCCUUGGACCUCCACGAGCCCCCCUGCGUCACCCAGCUCUCCGUCCCCGCCCACCUGGCCGACGGCAUGGACCUGGCCGCCGCGAGCAUCCAGGCCGCGAGCAGCGACGGGCUCCUCCUCCUCGACUUCGCCGAAACCGGCGACUGGCCCGAGGCCAUCCGCGACUGCGGUGGCAGCAGCAAAGCGAUACCCGGAUUGGCCGCGUGCGCCGCCGCCGUCGACCCGGGCGUCAGGCGCUUCGUCUGCAACCCUCUCAGCGGCCAGCUGUUCCGCCUCCCCGUCCCCAGCAUGGAUGCCGCGCUGACGACCACGCCCUUCGGCCUGCUCACCCAAUCCCACGGCCCCCACGGCCCGCCUGACAGGUUCGUGGUCGCCCAGCUCUGCCUCCGGGAGAGGGACGGCCAAAGGGUCGUGCGCCGCUUUCGGUCCGAAACAGGGGAGUGGGACGAGCCGCCGCUGUUCGUCCCGUCCGCGGCUCCGGCUUGGCGCCCAAUGCCGAACCACGAGGUGGUGGCGUUCGGCGACCGGCUGUGGUGGGUCGACCCUUUCUUUGGUGUCUUCUCCGUCGACCCAUUCAGCGACCGGCCGGAGCAUGGCUUCGUCGCGCUGCCGCGCCCGCUGCCCAACUUCGACAUUGACGCGCCGCUGAUGCUGUUCCGGCUCUUGGGUGUCAGCGAGGGGAAGCUGCGCUAUGUCGAAAUGACCACUAAGGAGCCGUUUAUGCUCUACUCGUUCUCGCUCGACGACGAGGGGUCGUCCUGGAAGCUAACACAUGAGAAAAGAUUGAACCUGGUCUUCCCUGACAAAUCCAUACCAAGAGAAUGUGAAAUGCCGUGGAUUUCUGCAAUUGAUCCAUUCAAUGCCAACAUUUUCUAUUUCACACAUGGCGACCUUGUUUGCGAAAUCGACAUUGACAAGGGGGAGACUGGGAGGAGUUCUUUUCCAGACAGCAUCACAUCUCGGAGCUACAGCUCUGCUUUCUUUGUGCCUGUAAUGCUCCCAACAUGGAUUGAAUCCUACAACCUCCCGUGUACAGGUAUAUAUAUAUAUAUGCUUCUUAGACAUGCAUUCUUGAUUCAUUUGCAUAUUGAAGCUCUGAAGUUUCCUACACUUUAAUUGUUAGGGUGCACAAGUUUUGGUUUAACAUAGUUUUCAAAUCAUGUGUGUGGAACCUUGUUGUGCACAACAUGGAUAUACUCUAUUUGUAACUGACACAAAUUGUAUCUGUACUGAAGUUUCUGAAGGGAGUGACUGGGUGGCUGAUAUCUUAAAUGUUGUGUAGAAUUAAUCAUUGCAUAUAGACCCAUACGUUUCAGAACUAAACUGGCCGUCAUUAGCAGUGAUUUAUUCUGAAAUGCCGCAGGCAGAAUUUUGUAGUACCAGAGAAUCUGGUGUAUUUUGUUGAGUGCAAUGGACAUGGUAUUGUAUAUCAUGUUGAGUAAAAAUGUCUUCUCUACUUAAUGUCAACAUAUAUCUCUAUGCAACUGUCAUGUUAAAUGCCUAAGCGAUAUUUUCUGAUUCAAUUCUUGGUGUAAUGAAGAAAGAUAUACAGUUCUCAUUGUUCUGUGUCAUUUGUGUUUAAUUUCUUGUAUCUAUAUGGAUAUAACUGAAGGAACACUUUCGAGCAAGGCGACCAAUGCAACAAGGAAGACUUUGGCAGACAUACUGGUUCGUGUUGACUCUUGACAAAGACCAGAAAAAAAAUCGAAGCAUGCCAGAAUAUCUUUGGUACUUCCUCUUGAAAAAUUCUUUCUUGUUUGGGUGCCCUUCUUAUUUUCGCCUGAUAUUUAAUCAUAUUUUUUUUUCUCGUGUUCAUGAUUCUGUAUAUUUCCUAUACUGCUCAGGAGUAAGUAGUUUGGUCAAGUCACCAUGCCGAACUGCUACCCUAAUUUACGAUCCUUAUACCAUAAUACUAUUGUCAUCCUUAAUUCAAACUCCUAUGCUGCAUCAAUAGUUUUUUCACUGGUACUGUCUUCAGUGCUUUGUACAGGAGUAUUAUCUGAACUACUCUACUACCAUGCUGGUCUGACUUAUACCAAUACCCUAGACAUAAUUAAAAUGAGAAAAAAGCCUAAAAGUCAUCCUGCCCUCUCACCUUGAUCAGCUUUAUUCUUUCACUAGUCACUAAUCCUGAUAUGUCAUUACCAAAUCAAGACUGAACUGAAGUAUGUUUCUUGCUAGCUAGUAUCUCGUACGAGAUUUACAAAACAGGCAUACAGUGUUGUAUUCUGGUAUGAGUAUAUCAUGUUUUUUGGAGAAAAUUAUCCAAGAGAAUAUUCAGGUGUUUCUGUUUUACCGUUUACUCUUUUGCCUUGCAGAUUCCUUACAAUGGACCGACAACUGAGCUGAUGGUGGCACUGGAAGACAUGGACUCUCAUUUUGGGGAAAUGCCGGGACAAUCUUGGCGUGUUCCGCUUGUUGAUGCGCUCGGCAAUUUAGAUUGGAGCAGUCUAACAAAUGCACUGUUACUUGCAAGACACGAUGCUUAUCUUCUCCGCAGCAUGUUAUUGCACCUAUCAAAGGAUAUGUUUGAUCGGAUUGUUUUAGUGCAUAGGUCAUUUACGUGGCAAUGAUGAUAAGAAAUGCAUGCGCUCUCUUUAAUCUGGAAUACAAUGACCUUAAAAUACUCUUUCCAGUGGAAAACGAUAUGUUCCCUGUUCUAAAUGUUAUUUUGGUCUUAUUGACCGGAGUUUAGACCAUCAUUCUCAUUCCUACCAGCACAACUUGCUUUCUGAACCUAAUAACGUGUAAUCCAGCAAAUAACCUUUGUAUUUGGGUUAUUGGUACGCGUGAUUCAGAAGCUUGUGUCCACUGUUUAGUUAUUCCAUGGAACAUUGUUAUUCUAAAGAGCUACAUAAGGGCGGUCAGGGAUUCGGAAUGGGCCUGACAGGAUUCUCGCACUGUUCUAUCAAUCAGCGGCAUUGGUUGUUGUUGGGAGCUGAGGCGUGUGGGCGGUCAAGGAUUUUUUGGGCAGCGAGAAUGUUCUGGAGGACUUUAAUGAUACUGCUGUGCAGGUUCUUAUACCCAAGGUGUUUGAUUCCUGACAAGCAUCGGGUUUUCUUGGGAAGCGGCUCCCCUGACGUACAUCACCUGCAGUUGUGGCACUGCCAUGUGGGCCUGUUUUUUAAUGAGCCCACCUGUCAGGGAUGGAACGGCACCCUGCCGAACGGCAGAGGAGCCUCGUCCGUUUUCUUGUGGGUUGCACUCAGGGACACCGAACACAAGAGUCAACAUGUUGAAGAAGGAAUAGACAGCUAUUAUACAACGUAAUGGGUGCGAUCUUUGCCCUGCUGCGGAGAAUAUCGAUCAUAUUAUCCUGCGUUGCAAACUUGCUGACACCGUAGGUCUAAGAGCAUCUCCAACAGACGCGCGGUUGAGCGGUGCGUUAAUUUUUUUGCAGCACCGAAAUUGCGUUUUAGCGCGUUGAGUUGGUGUUUUGCUUUACCAGAAGCGCAAAAACACGGCGUCCAAUCCGGCGGCCCCACCUGCACACAACCCAGAUUUUGCAGCGCGUGCGAGCGGGCACAUCAAAUACACAGCGCGCUGAACCUUAUCCACCGCGUGCGGGAUUAUAACGCAGCCGCUGGAGCGCUACUUUCGGCCGCGCGCGCUAUAUUACCCUUCUUUCCAGCGUGCGGGUUAUAUAACGCAUCCGUUGGAGAUGCUCUAAGUCCGGUUUGAAACGUUUAGCCAAUAAACUCUCAAGCUUUAAGAAGUGUUGUGCUCAACCACGGUGAGGGACAGCUACAGUGGACUGUGGAAUGUCUUCUUUGCCGCCUGUGCGGUAGCACUUUGGACUGCUCUAUAUGCUCAAGUUUUUGGAGAAAAGAGAUUCUCCCAUGCACGGGAGACCCAUGCGUUGUCAAUCUCUCUCCUGCUUUACUUCUUACAUUACACAAACUCAUCCAUGCCUUCUUCAUUUGACUUUAAAGUUUGAAUCUUAUUAAUCCAUUGAAUCAAAAGUCUAAUUUAUGAUCCGUUUGCGCAGUGGCGGAGACGGGGUGCCGGGGAGGGGGGGGGGGUCGAUAAUUGAGGAGACAUAGGCAGGUACACAUGUAUUUGCCCCCCCCUUUCAGAUUUCCUCAACGUAUUCGUAGAAAAAAAGACCCGUGCGAAAAAAGCCCACUAGUAGCCCCUAGCUUCCAUGGACACUGUAAGUCCAUAAUUAGCUUAUACAUGGGGUUAAUCGCCGCCACCAUUCCAGUUUUCAACGCCCUUGCCCCCGCUCGCCUCUUGCCCUUCUCGCCCAUUGCCCUGCUUUGCUCGGCUGCUCCCAGGACCCAGGCAUGCUGCUCUCAAAUUCUCGUCUUCUCGAUCAGCCGAUCUGAUUCACAUAUUUAGGUAAAUGGUUGCUGCACUUCAACACUUGUCAAUUCUUCCCGCUUCAAUCAAAGAACCAGCAAGUCGAUUCUCAUCUUGUAUCUGUGUCGAAUUGAUGCUUCAAAUUUCUUUUUGUUUUGGUAACUUGAUUGUGUAAUUUGUGACUCUAUGAUCUAUGAUUCUAUGAAGAGUUCCCAUCUUUCACAUGUCCACAAUAAUCAUGAUAGUGUUGUACUGUGUGUGUCGGUCAGUUCUUAUUUUUGUGAUGCAAAUUAUCUAUUAUCUUCUCUUAGUUCCUAUCUGUGAUUGCAAUCAUGACUCCAUUCCAAUCCGCAGGCAACAUCUAUGAAGAGAAAAGCAGGGCCAAUCACCAUUAAGAGUAAUGCUUUUUUAAGCCAGUUACUUCAAGUUCUCAACCUAUUGAAAUUGAUAGUGAGGUGUGUAAGGGCAUAUUUAUCCCUAAGGUGUUUUGGUGAUUGAUGACAAUGCGUUUGCGGACUAAUCGUGUGCCUUGAGUAUCCCAGACGUUUCAUCGCUAGGCACAAGACGGUUGGGUGCCCCUCGAAGACUGUUGAAGACGGCGUCUUUGAAGGAAAUAUGCCCUAGAGGCAAUAAUAAAGUUAUUAUUUAUUUCCUUAUAUCAUGAUAAAUGUUUAUUAUUCAUGCUAGAAUUGUAUUAACCGGAAACAUAAUACAUGUGUGAAUACAUAGACAAAAAUAGAGAGUCAUUAGUAUGCCUCUACUUGACUAGCUCGUUAAUCAAAGAUGGUUAUGUUUCCUAACCAUAGACAUGAGUUGUCAUUUGAUUAACGGGAUCACAUCAUUAGGAGAAUGAUGUGAUUGACUUGACCCAUUCCGUUAGCUUAGCACUUGAUCGUUUAGUUUGUUGCUAUUGCUUUCUUCAUAACUUAUACAUGUUCCUAUGACUGUGAGAUUAUGCAACUCCCGUUUAUCGGAGGAACACUUUGUGUGCUACCAAACAUCACAACGUAACUGGGUGAUUAUAAAGGUGCUCUACAGGUGUCUCCGAAGGUACUUGUUGGGUUGGCGUAUUUCGAGAUUAGGAUUUGUCACUCCGAUUGUCGGAGAGGUAUCUUGGGGCCCUCUCGGUAAUGCACAUCACUCAAGCCUUGCAAGCAUUGCAACUAAUAAGUUAGUUGCAGGAUCAUGUAUUAUGGAACGAGUAAAGAGACUCGUCGGUAACGAGAUUGAACUAGGUAUUGAGAUACCGGCGAUCGAAUCUCGGGCAAGUAACAUACCGAUGACAAAGGGAACAACAUAUGUUGUUGUGCGAUCUGACCGAUAAAGAUCUUCGUAGAAUAUGUAGGAGCCAAUAUGAGCAUCCAGGUUCCGCUAUUGGUUAUUGACCGGAGACGUGUCUCGGUCAUGUCUACAUAGUUCUCGAACCCGUAGGGUCCGCACGCUUAAAGUUUGGUGAUGAUCGUAAUUAGGGUUUUUGUGUUUUGAUGUACCGAAGGUUGUUCGGAGUCCCGGAUGUGAUCACGGACAUGACAAGGAGUCUCGAAAUGGUCGAGACAUAAAGAUUGAUAUAUUGGAAGCCUAUAUUUGGAUAUCUGAAAUGUUCCGGGUGAAAUCGGGAUUUUACCGGAGUACCGGGGGGGUUACCGGACCCCCCGGGGGGUUAUUGGGCCUACAUGGGCCAUAAGGGAGAAGAGGAGGGCCGGCCAGGGCAGGCCACACGCCCCCUCCCCGCUAGUCCAAAUAGGACAAGGAAGGGGGGGGGGGUGGCGCCCCCCUUUCCUCUUUCUCCCUUCCUCCUUCCUUUUCCAACAAGGCAAGAGGGGGGAGUCCUACUCCCGGUUGGAGUAGGACUCCUCCAGGCGCACCCAUAGGGCCGGCCGCACCUCCCCCUCUCCCUCCUUUAUAUACUAAGGCAAGGGGGCACCCCAUGACAUAGAAGUUGAUCCUCGUGAUCAUUCCUUAGCCGUGUGCGGUGCCCCCUUCCACCAUAUUCCACCUCGGUCAUAUCAUAGCGGUGCUUAGGCGAAGCCCUACGUCGGUAGAACAUCAUCACCGUCAUCACGCCGUCGUGCUGAUGAAACUCUCCCUCAAUGUUUUGCUGGAUCGGAACUCGAGGGAAGUCACCGAGUUGAACGUGUGCAGAACUCGGAGGUGCCGUACGUUCGGUACUUGGAUCGGUCGGAUCGGGAAGACGUACGACUACUUCCUCUAUGUUGUGUCAACACUUCCGUUGCCGGUCUAUGAGGGUACGUAGACAACACUCUCCUCUCUCGUUGCUAUGCAUCACCAUGAUCUUGCGUGUGCGUGGGAUUUUUUUUGAAAUUACUACGUUCCCCAACAGUGGCAUCCGAGCCUAGGUUUUGUGCGUUGAUGUUAUGCACGAGUAGAACACAAAGGAGUUGUGGGCGAUAUAAGUCAUACUGCUUACCAGCAUGUCAUACUUUGGUUCGACGGUAUUGUUGGAUGAAGCGGCCCGGACCGAUAUUACGCGUACGCUUACGCAAGACUGGUUCUACCGACGUGCUUUGCACACAGGUGGCUGGCGGGUGUCAGUUUCUCCAACUUUAGUUGAACCGAGUGUGGCUACGCCCGGUCCUUGCGAAGGUUAAAACAGCACCAACUUGACAAACUAUCGUUGUGGUUUUGAUGCGUAGGUAAGAACGGUUCUUGCUAAGCCCGUAGCAGCCACGUAAAACUUGCAACAACAAAGUAGAGGAUGUCUAACUUGUUUUUGCAGGGCAUGUUGUGAUGUGAUAUGGUCGAGACAUGAUGCUAAAUUUUAUUGUAUGAGAUGAUCAAGUUUUGUAACCGAGUUAUCGGCAACUGGCAGGAGCCAUAUGGUUGUCGCUUUAUUGUAUGCAAUGCAAUCGCGCUGUAAUGCUUUACUUUAUCACUAAGCGGUAGCGAUAGUCAUGGAAGCAUAAGAUUGGCGAGACGACAACGAUGCUACGAUGGAGAUCAAGGUGUCAGGCCGGUGACGAUGGUGAUCAUGACGGUACUUCGGAGAUGGAGAUCACAAGUACAAGAUGAUGAUGGCCAUCAUAUCACUUAUAUUGAUUGCAUGUGAUGUUUAUCUUUCAUGUAUCUUAUCUUGCUUUGAUUGACGAUAGCAUUAUAAGAUGAUCCCUCACUAAAUUAUCAAAGUAUAAGUAUUCUCCCUGAGUAUGCACCGUUGCGAAAGUUCUUUGUGCUGAGACACCACGUGAUGAUCGGGUGUGAUAGGCUCUACGUUCAAAUACAAUGGGUGCAAAACAGUUGCACACGCGGAAUACUUAUGUUAAACUUGACGAGCCUAGCAUAUAAUAGAUAUGGCCUCGAAACACGGAGACCGAAAGGUCGAGCGUGAAUCAUAUAGUAGAUAUGAUCAACAUAGUGAUGUUCACCAUUGAAACUACUCCAUCUCACGUGAUGAACGGACAUGGUUUAGUUGACUUGGAUCACGUGAUCACUUAGAGGAUUAGAGGGAUGUCUAUCUAAGUGGGAGUUCUUAAGUAAUAUGAUUAAUUAAACUUUAAUUUAUCAUGAACUUAGUCCUGGUAGUAUUAGCAUAUCUAUGUUGUAGAUCAAUAGCUCGCGUUUAGCUCCCCUGUUUUAUUUUUGAUAUGUUCCUAGAGAAAACUAAGUUGAAAGAUGUUAGUAGCAAUGAUGCUCCGUGAUCUGAGGUUUAUCCUCAUUGCUGCACAGAAGAAUUAUGUCUUUGAUGCACCGCUAGGUGACAAACCUAUUGCAGGAGCAGAUGCAGAUGUUAUGAACAUUUGGCUAGCUCAAUAUGAUGACUACUUGAUAGUUUAGUGCACCAUGCUUAAACGGCUUAGAAUCGGGACUUCAAAGACAUUUUGAACGUCAUGGACCAUACGAGAUGUUCCAGGAGUUGAAGUUAAUAUUUUAAGCAAAUACCCGAGUUGAGAGAUAUGAAGUCUCCAACAAGUUCUAUAGCUAAAAGAUGGAGGAGAAUAGCUCAAGCAGUGAGCAUGUGCUUAGAUUGUCUGGGUACUACAAUCGCUUGAAUCAAGUGGGAGUUAAUCUUCCAGAUAAAAUAGUGAUUGACAGAAUUCUCUAGUCACCAUCACCAAGUUAGUAGAACUUCGUGAUGAACUAUGAUAUGCAAGGGAUAACGGAAACGAUUCCCAAGCUCUUCGUAAUGCUGAAAUCGACGAAGGUAGAAAUCAAGAAAAAUAUCAAGUGUUGAUGGUAGACAAGACCACUAGUUUCAAGAAAAGGGCAAAGGGAAGAAGGGGAACUUCAAGAAGAACGGCAAGCAAGUUGCUGCUCAAGUGAAGAAGCCCAAGUCUGGUCCUAGGCCUGAGACUAAGUGCUUCUACUGCAAAAGGACUGGUCACUGGAAGCAAAACUGCCCCAAGUAUUUGGCGGAUAAGAAGGAUGGCAAAGCGAACAAAGGUAUAUUUGAUAUACAGAUUAUUGAUGUGUAUUUUACUUGUGUUCAUAGCAACCCCUCGGUAUUUGAUACUGGUUCAGUUGCUAAGAGUAGUAACUCGAAACGGGAGUUGCAGAAUGAACAUAGACUAGUUAAGGGUGAAGUGAUGAUGUGUGUUGGAAGUGGUUCCAAGAUUAAUAUGAUCAUCAUCGCACACUCCCUAAACUUUUGGGAUUAGUGUUGAACCUAAAUAAGUGUUAUUUGAUGUUUGCGUUGAGCAUGAAUAUGAUUUGAUCAUGUUUAUUGCAAUACGGUUAUUCAUUUAAGUAAGAGAAUAAAUUGUUGUUCUGUUUACAUGAAUAAAACCUUAUAUGGUUACACACCCAAUGAAAAUGGUUCAUUGGAUCUCGAUCAUAGUGAUACACAUAUUCAUAAUAUUGAAACCAAAAGAUGUAAAGUUAAUAAUGAUGGUGCAAUUUAUUUGUGGCACUGCCGUUUAGGUCAUAUUGGUGUACAGCGCAUGAAGAAAAUCCAUGCUGAUGGGCUUUUGGAAUCACUUGAUUAUGAAUCAGUUGAUGCUUGCGAACCAUGCCUCAUGGGCAAGAUGACUAAGACUCCGUUCUCCGGAACAAUGGAGCGAGCAACAGAUUUGUUGGAAAUCAUACAUACUGAUGUAUGUGGUCCGAUGAAUAUUGAGGCUCAUGGUAGGUAUCAUUAUUUUCUGAUCUUCACAGAUGAUUUGAGCAGAUAUGAGUAUAUCUACUUGAUGAAACACAAGUCUGAAACAUUUGAAAAGUUCAAAGAAUUUCAGAGUGAAGUGGAGAAUCAUCAUAACAAAAAUAAAAGUUUCUACGAUAUGAUCGCAGAAGUAAAAUAUUUGAGUUACGAUUUUGGCCUUCAGUUAAAAACAAUGUCAAAUAGUUUCACUACUCACGCCACCUGGAACACCACAGCAUAAUGGUGUGUCUGAACGUCAUAACCGUACUUUAUUAGAUAUGGUACGAUCUAUGAUGUCUCUUACCGAUCUACCACUAUCGUUUUGGGGUUAUGCAUUAGAGACAGCUGCAUUCACGUUAAAUAGGGCACCAUCUAAAUGCGUUGAGAUGACACCGUAUGAACUAUGGUUUGGCAAGAAACCUAAGCUGUCGUUUCUUAAAGUUUGAGGUUGCAAUGCUUAUGUGAAAAAAUUUCAACCUGAUAAGCUCUAACCCAAAUCGGAGAAGUGCGUCUUUAUAGGAUACCCAAAAGAAAAUGUUGGGUACACCUUCUAUCACAGAUCCGAAGGCAAUAUAUUCGUUGCUUUAAAUGGAUCCUUUCUAGAAAAGGAGUUUCUCUCGAAAGAAGUGAGUGGGAGGAAAGUAGAACUUGAUGAGGUAACUGUACCUGCUCCCUUAUUGGAAAGUAGUUUAUCAUAGAAAUCUGUUCCUGUGACUACUACACCAAUUAGUGAGGAAGCUAAUGAUGAUGAUCAUGUAACUUCAGAUCAAGUUACUACCGAACCUCGUAGGUAAACUAGAGUGAGAUCCGCACCAGAGUGGUACGGUAAUUCUAUUCUGGAGGUCAUGUUACUUGACCAUGACAAACCUACGAACUAUGAGGAAGCGAUGAUGAGCCCAGAUUCCGCGAAAUGGCUUGAGGCCAUGAAAUCUGAGAUGGGAUCCAUGUAUGAGAACAAAGUGUGGACUUUGGUUGACUUGCCCGAUGAUCGGCAAGCAAUUGAGAUUAAAUGGAUCUUCAAGAGGAAGACGGACGCUGAUAGUAGUGUCACUAUCUAUAAAGCUAGAAUUGUCGCAAAAAGGUUUUCGACAAGUUCAAAGUGUUGAGUCCGAUGAGAGUUUCUCACUCGUAUCUAUGCUUAAGUCUGUCCGAAUCAUGUUAGCAAUUGCCGCAUUUUAUGAAAUCUGGCAAGUGGAUAAACAAAACUGCAUUCCUUAAUGGAUUUAUUAAAGAAGAGUUGUAUAUGAUGCAACCAGAAGGUUUUGUCAAUCCUAAAGGUAGUAACAAAAUAUGCAAGCUCCAGCGAUCCAUCUAUGGACUGGUGCAAGCAUCUCGGAGUAGGAUAUACGCUUUGAUAAGUCGAUCAAAGCAUAUAGUUUUAUACAGACUUGCGGUGAAGCCUGUAUUUACAAGAAAGUGAGUGGGAGCAUUAUAGCAUUUCUGAUAAGUAUAUGUGAAUGACAUAUUGUUGAUCGGAGAUAAUGUAGAAUUAUUCUGCAAAGCAUAAAGGAGUGUUUGACAGGAGUUUUUCAAAGAAAGACCUCGGUGAAGCUGCUUACAUAUUGAGCAUCAAGAUCUAUAGAGAUAGAUCAAGACGCUUGAUAAGUUUAUUCAAUGAGUACAUACCUUGACAAGAUUUUGAAGUAGUUCAAAAUGGAACAGUCAAAGAAGGAGUUCUUGCCUGUGUUACAAGGUGUGAAGUUGAGUAAGACUCAAAACCCGACCACGACAGAAGAUAGAGAGAGAAUGAAAGUCAUUCCCUAUGCCUCAGCCAUAGGUUCUAUAAAGUAUGCCAUGUGGUGUACCAGACCUAUUGUAUACUCUACCCUGAGUUUGACAAGAGAGUACAAUAGUGAUCUAGGACUAGAUCACUGGACAUUGGUCAAAAUUAUCCUUAGUGGAAUAAGGAUGUGUUUCUCGAUUAUGGAGGUGACAAAAGAUUCGUCUAAAGGGUUACGUCGAUGCAAGUUUUGACACUGAUCCAGAUGACUCAAAGUCUCAAUCUGGAUAAAUAUUAAAAGUGGGAGCAAUUAGCUAGAGUAGCUCCGUGCAGAGCAUUGUUGACAUAGAAAUUUGCAAAAUACUUACGGAUCUAAAUGUGCAAGACCCGUUGACUAAACUUCUCUCACAAGCAAAACAUGAUCACACCUUAGUACUCUUUGGGUAUUAAUCACAUAGCGAUGUGAACUAGAUUAUUGACUCUAGUAAACCCUUUGGGUAUUGGUCACAUGUCGAUGUGAACUAUGGGUGUUAAUCACAUGAUGAUGUGAACUACUCGUAUUAAAUCACAUGGCGAUGUGAACUAGAUUAUUGACUCUAGUGCAAGUGGGAGACUGAAGAAAAUAUGCCCUAGAGGCAAUAAUAAAGUUAUUAUUUAUUUCCUUAUAUCAUGAUAAAUGUUUAUUAUUCAUGCUAGAAUUGUAUUAACCGGAAACAUAAUACAUGUGUGAAUACAUAGACAAAAACAGAGAGUCACUAGUAUGCCUCUACUUGACUAGCUCGUUAAUCAAAGAUGGUUAUGUUUCCUAACCAUAGACAUGAGUUGUCAUUUGAUUAACGGGAUCACAUCAUUAGGAGAAUGAUGUGAUUGACUUGACCCAUUCCGUUAGCUUAGCACUUGAUCGUUUAGUUUGUGGUUAUUGCUUUCUUCAUAACUUAUACAUGUUCCUAUGACUAUGAGAUUAUGCAACUCACGUUUACAGGAGGAACACUUUGUGUGCUACCAAACGUCACAACGUAACUGGGUGAUUAUAAAGGUGCUCUACAGGUGUCUCCGAAGGUACUUGUUGGGUUGGCGUAUUUCGAGAUUAGGAUUUGUCACUCCGAUUGUCGGAGAGGUAUCUCGGGGCCCUCUCGGUAAUGCACAUCACUCAAGCCUUGCAAGCAUUACAACUAAUAAGUUAGUUGCAGGAUGAUGUAUUAUGGAACGAGUAAAGAGACUUGCCGGUAACAAGAUUGAACUAGGUAUUGAGAUACCGAUGAUCGAAUCUCGGGCAAGUAACAUACCGAUGACAAAGGGAACAAUGUAUGUCGUUAUGCGGUCUGACCGAUAAAGAUCUUUGUAGAAUAUGUAGGAGCCAAUAUGAGCAUCCAGGUUCCGCUAUUGGUUAUUGACCGGAGACGUGUCUCGGUCAUGUCUACAUAGUUCUCGAACCCGUAGGGUCCGCACGCUUCAAGUUUGGUGACGAUCGUAAUUAGGGUUUUUGUGUUUUGAUGUACCGAAGGUUGUUCGGAGUCCCGGAUGUGAUCACGGACAUGACGAGGAGUCUCGAAAUGGUCGAGACAUAAAGAUUGAUAUAUUGGAAGUCUAUAUUUGGAUAUCGGAAACGUUUCGGGUGAAAUCAGGAUUUUACCGGAGUACCGGGGGGUUACCGGAACCCCCCCCCCCCCGGGGGGGGAUUAUUGGGCCUACAUGGGCCAUAAGGGAGAAGAGGAGGGCCGGCCAGGGCAGGCCGCGCGCCCCCUCCCCCCUAGUCCGAAUAGGACAAGGAAGGGGGGGGGGGGCGGCGCCCCCCUUUCCUCUUUCUCCCUUCCUCCUUCCUUUUCUAACAAGGCAAGAGGGGGGGAGUCCUACUCCCGGUUGGAGUAGGACUCCUCCAGGCGCACCCAUAGGGCCGGCCGCACCUCCCCCUCUCCCUCCUUUAUAUACUGAGGCAAGGGGGCACCCCAUGACAUAGAAGUUGAUCCUCGUGAUCGUUCCUUAGCCGUGUGCGGUGCCCCCUUCCACCAUAUUCCACCUCGGUCAUAUCGUAGCGGUGCUUAGGCGAAGCCCUGCGUCGGUAGAACAUCAUCACCGUCAUCCCGCCGUCGUGCUGACGAAACUCUCCCUCAACAUUUUGCUGGAUCGGAACUCGAGGGACCUCACCGAGUUGAACGUGUGCAGAACUCGGAGGUGCCUUACGUUCGGUACUUGGAUCGGUCGGAUCGUGAAGACGUACGACUACUUCCUCUACGUUGUGUCAACACUUCUGUUGCCGGUCUACGAGGGUACAUAGACAACACUCUCCUCUCUCGUUGCUAUGCAUCACCAUGAUCUUGCGUGUGCGUAGGAAUUUUUUUGAAAUUACUACGUUCCCCAACAGUCUUUUCUAUGUUUCUUUUUGGUGGAUUUGAGUCGUAGGAAAGCCGUACUAUUAAGAGGGGGUCCACGUCGGAAAGGUUUGGGUGGAAUCAUCACGUACACGUUUCUUCCUAGUCCCCUCCUUUCCCUUGCACCUUGGAGCUUCCUCCGUUGUUAUCUCGUCACCUUGUUUCUGGCUGUUGUGUUGGCUCGCGGUAGUACUGCUCCCAGGUGAGCGGUAGUACCGUAGGCACCAGCGGUAGUACCGUGCUGCGGCGCGGUAGUACCGCAGGUGCCCACGAUAGUACCGCUCCCCUGGAGCUGCACUACCGUGGCCCACCAGGCUAGUACCGCUCCCCCGCGGUAGUAGGGGCGGAUGUAAUUUUUUACAUCCGCGCCUAUCACGGUAGUACCGCAUUCCUUCCGCGGUAGUACAGUGCUCAGCUGUCAGGCGGUAGUACCGCCCCUCUGCGGUAGUACUGUGUCGGGUUUUUGCUUCUUCCAUUUUUCAGCGGAAGUAGGCACAGAUGUUUCCUUAUCCACACUCUUCCCAGACUAGGGGGUUCCUGCCUUGCGGUAGUACCGCAAGGGGGAGCGGUAGUACCGCGCCCGCGGAAGUACCGCCCUCAGCACUUGUGCUACAGGUCUGCCCUAGCUUUUGUUGGUGCAGCGGUAGUACGCGGGCCUGCACGGUUGUACCGUGUGACCUUGCGGUAGUACCGCUUGGCAGCAAGCGGAAGUACUGCAUGGCCCCACGGUAGUACCGCCGGCCUGGUGCGGUAGUACCGCUAGCCGCGGACUGGUAGGUGGAUAACGGUUGGAUCUUUGUCCCUCACUAUAAAAGGGGUCCCCUUCUUCCCCGUUGUCUUAUCUCUUCCAACCCUAAGCUCCAGUGUUGCUCUAAGCUCCAUUUUCGCCCAAUCUCACUCCCUAGCCAAUCAAACUUGUUGAUUUUCUCGGGAGUGGUUGAGAAGGCCUCGAUCCACACUUCCACCAAGAGAAAUUUUGAAUCCCCCACUAAUUCCUUGCGGAUCUUGUUACUCUUGGGUGUUUGAGCAUCCUAGACGGUUGAGGUCACCGCGGAGCCAUAGUCCAUUGUGGUGAAGCUUCGUGGUGUCGUUGGGAGCCUCCAAUUGAGUUGUGGAGAUUGCCCCAACCUUGUUUGUAAAGGUUCGGUCGCCGCCUUCAAGGGCACCAAUAGUGGAAUCACGGCAUCUCGCAUUGUGUGAGGGUGUGAGGAGAAUAUGGUGGCCCUAGUGGCUUCUUGGGGAGCAUUGUGCCUCCACACCGCUACAACGGAGACGUACUUCCCCUCAAAGGGAAGGAACUUCGGUAACACAUCCUCGUCUCCACCGGCUCCACUCUUGGUUAUCUCGUGCCUUUACUUGUGCAAGCUUAUUUGUGUUAUAUCUCUUGCUUGCUUGUGUUCCUAUCCUUGUUGCAUCAUAUAGGUUUCUCACCUAGUUGCAUAUCUAGACAACCUACUUUGAUGCAAAGUUUAAAUUGUUAAAGAAAAGCCAAAAAUUGUUAGUUGCCUAUUCACCCCCCUCUAGUCAACCAUAUCGAUCCUUUCAAUUGGUAUCAGAGCCUUGUCUCUUUAUUGAGGACUUUACCGUCCGAAGAGUAUGGUUGAUACCGUAGACGGUGUGGAGGAACACUCCGGUGUGAAUCCGAUCUCGUCUACGGGCGAUGGGGGAACCUCGGUCUCACGUGAGGAGUUCAAUGUGGCCUUGGAGACAUUGAAAACCUCCAUGACGACCGAGGUUGAAAGCAUGUUUACUAAAUUCCUUGAAGGGCUUAAACUAUCCGCCGCACCAUUGAAAGUGGGUAAUUCCACCGAUAAGGUGACGGAUGCUACCUCCGAUAAGGGGGAAGCUAGUAGUGAAAAGGCUCCUUCUUCUAGUGUUAAGAAUGGCACCAUCAUCUUUUCUCAUGUGGAACCACCACUUGUUUAUGGUGGACCGGCUCCUUCCACUCAUUUGAAUCAUGCCGGUCCUUCCCCUAAGAUUGUGAAAAAUGAGGACUUUGAUUCUUGGGUUUACCGCUUUAAACGUCAUUUAAAUCAUGUGAACACUAAUAUUUGGAGAAUCAUUGAAGAAGGUUUCUAUCCGCAUGAUCCAAGCAACUUCACUCCUCGAGAAGCCGCAGAUAAUCAAUUCAAUGAAAAUGCUCUCUUCAUCAUUCAAGAUGCAAUUCCACCCAAAGAUCUACCUCAUCUUCGACCCUUCGCCUUGGCCAAAGACGCAUGGCUUUGUGUUGUCUCUCUCUACCGGGGAAGCGCAAGCAUUCAACGCUCCAACUAUGAAGUGGUGCAAGAUGAGGCCGAUGAGUUUGCAAUGAAAGAAGAUGAAGAACCACGUGAGCUUUAUCGGAGAGUAACCAAACUCGCGGUCUCACUCCGAGAUCACGGGAGCAAGGACACGAAUGACAAUUGGAUUAAGCGCAAAUUCCCCAAGGCAAUGAUUCCCUACCACAAGGCCAUGUCCUCUAUCAUUCGUCAAAGGCCGGACUUCCACACUUUGACCUCAAGCGAAGUGUUGGAUGAGUUUGUGGCCAUGAACAUUUUGGACAAGACCGCCGACAAUGCGGUGCUUCGUUCUCAAAGGGCAAAGAAGCCCAACCUUACAUUGAAGGCCAAGCUCUGCGUUGAAGAAGAAGAAGAGGAGGAAGAAGAGGAGAGCAACCCCGAAGAUACAAAGUAUGCAUAUCAUGAACACAUGGCACUCACUUCAAGGAAAUUUUGGAGCAAGAAAAACUCAAGACCAAACUUUAACAAAAACAACUCAAGUUGCACGAAGAGCAAGCAACGUGUAAGGACUUGCUACAGUUGUGGCAAUGUGAGUCAUUUUGUUGUGGAGUGCCCGUAUGAGAAGAGGGAAGACAAUGGUGGCAAGCUCAUCCGAAAGGACAAAGCCAAGUCGUUCCCCAACAAGAGCAACUUCACCAAGAAUACUCCUCCCAAGGCAUUGGUGGUACAAGAAGAGUACAAUGAGGAUGAUGACGAUGAUGAAGAUGGUGAGUCGGCUGCCAUGGCCUCAGUUGCCAUUGCGACGACUCCACGGGUGUCUCUCUUCGACUCACCCGAUGAGAGCAUCACCGCCAAGUGCCUCAUGGCUAAAGCCACCAACAAGGUAACCCCCAACAUCAAAACUACCAUCAUUAAUCAUCCUUCUUCGACGGAUAGCAUUGAUGAACAUGAGGGAGCUAAUGUGGAGGCGAAUGAGUUUGAGGCCUUUAUGGGCAAACUUAAGGGUAAAUCCAAGAAGCACUUUGUGGCUCUCUUGGAACAACUUGGUGAAGCCAAUGACAUGAUUGAGGCUCACGAAGAUACCAUCACUAAUAUGGAAGGGCAUAGUCGUGACUAUGCGGAUGAGAUUUCGGAUCUUUCCAAUGCUCUUGAGGAAGAGUGUGGUCUUCAUUUGGCUCUUGAGGAGUCACACAAUGUUGAUCAUGCUAAGUUAAAGAAAGAUUAUGAUCAUGCUCUCAUUGUUUCUCAUGUGCUAAACUCCAAGAAGGCCGAACUUGAGGUUGAUCUUGCUAGACUCAGAGAGGAGUUUGAUCUACUUGACAAGGCUCACAAGGUCUUGAAGGGUGCUCAUGCUAGCCUCAAAGAGUCUCAUGAUCAACUUCAAGUAAAGCUAACCAAGGAAAAAGCCACUUUUCCUCGUAUGAUGUUAAUUGAUAAUGCAAAUGCUACUAACCCGUGUUGUGAGCAUGUGCAUCUUGUUGAGGAGAACGCUAAGCUAAAGGUGCAACUUGAGAGAGGUCUUGCGACUUGCAUACAAGGCAAGAAGAACCUCAACGACCUCUUGAUCAAUCAAAAGGGAGUUGUGGCCAAGGUAGGGGUUGGGUACGUGCCCGAGUCCAAGAACAAGAAGAAGAAUGACAAGACCAAACGACCUCCUCCUCUCAUGCAAACCUUUGUGAAGGAGGGAGAGAGUGCUUCCAAGGAGAAGAAGAACAAUGCGAAGGGUGGCGGUGUCAAAAAGGGCAAUGCCACUUCUCCUAUCAAAGCCGGCGACUUUAAUCCAUCUUAUAUGUUAUGUCGUGCUAGUGAUGGACAUGUCUAUGCCAAAUUCAUUGGUUCUCCUCAUGAGUACAUUGAAUGGUCUAUUUGGGUUCCAAAGACCCUUGUUACUAACAUCAAAGGACCCAUUACAAAAUGGGUACCUAAAACCAAGCAUUGAUCUCUUGUAGGUGUUUGCUUCCGGUGGGGGAUCAUGGUUGCUCGAUAGCGGAGCUACAAAUCAUAUGACCGGAAGCAAGGACUUGGUGGUGGACGUGCACAAGAUUCCAUCUAUGCCCACCAAUGUCGAGUGGGGUGACGCCUCAUCUUCUAAGGUAUUGGGACUUGGCAAGGUAGUCAUCUCUCAUGAUCUCACGAUCGAGAAGGUCAUGCUUGUUGAGUCCCUUGCAUGCAAUUUACUUUCCGUUCGUCAACUUGCAAUCAUGGGCUUUGCCACUUUCUUUGAUAUCGAUACCGUGGCCCUCUUGUGGAGCAAGACUCUUAAAGUAGCCUUUGUUGGGCAUGUCGAGAACGGUCUAUAUGUGAUUAACUUUUCGGAACGACCCACUAAGACCGCGACAUGCCUAAUGGCUAAAGUUGAUGUGGGGUGGCUUUGGCAUCGCCGUCUAGCCCAUGUCAAUAUGAGAUCUUUGCAAAGUCUUCUCAAGGGGGACCAUGUCCGUGGACUAACGAAUGUUAGUUUUGCUAAAGAUCGUGCUUGCAGUGCUUAUAUCGAAGGAAAGCUACAUGAGAAGGCUCACCCUCCCACGACUAUCAUUUACUCAAAGAGGCCUUUGGAGCUCCUUCACUUGGAUCUAUUUGGGCCUCCAUCCUUUGAUAGUCUUGGGGGUAGGAAGUAUUGCUUGGUGAUUGUGGAUGACUACUCAAGAUACACUUGGGUGUAUUUCUUCAAGAGGAAGAGUGAGACCCAACAAACCGUCAUUGACUUUGCAAAUGAAGCACAACGUCAACACAAUGCAAAGAUCUUGACAAUAAGAAGUGACAACGGCACCGAGUUCAAGAACUACACCUUGGAUGAGUUUCUUAGUGAUGAGGGGAUUAAGCAUCAAUAUUCCGCACCUUACACCCCUCAACAAAACGAUGUUGUGGAGAGGAAGAACCGGACGUUGAUGGAUGCGGCAAGGACCAUGAUGGCGGAGUUCAAGUCUCCAUACAACUUUUGGGCCGAAGCCAUCAACACCACAUGUCAUGCAUCCAAUCGGCUCUACCUCCGCAAGGGCUUGAACAAGACUCCAUAUGAGAUACUCACCGGUAACAAGCCCAACCUCAAGUACUUUCGGGUGUUCGGGUGUAAGUGUUUCAUUCUCAAGAAAGGUGUUCGGUUGUCUAAAUUUGAGGCUAGAGCUUAUGAGGGCAUAUUUGUUGGUUAUGCUACAAACUCUCAUGCUUACCGUGUCCUUAAUAAAUCUACGAGACUUAUUGAGAAGACGUGUAACGUGGAGUUUGAUGAGAAUAACGGCUCCCAAGUGGAGCAAAGUGGCACUUGUGAUGUAGGUGAUGAAAUUCCUCCUCAAGCCAUAAGAAGAAUGGGUGUUGGCUUUAUCCUACCCAUUGAGGAACCCCUUGUGGCCGAAGGAGAAGGACAAUGCUCCACUCAAGUGGAUCCAUCACCAACCCAAGGCCCACACGCUUCCGAAGAACAACAUAAAGGCCCUCAUCCUCAAGAACAAGACCAAGGGCAAGAUCAUGCUCAAGACGGUGUUGACACACCAAGUGAUGCCCAAGGUCAAGUUCUCUCCUCCGAGCAAGUUCAAGAACAAGAACAAGCUCAAGACGACGCUCAAGAUGAUCAAGUGACCACUCCUCGUCUCACCCCCGAGGAGGAAUUGGAGCAUCGUGCCGCCAAGGUUGCUUCCAAGCUCUCCACCAAGGAUCAUCUCAUGAUGAAUGUGCUUGGAAGCUUAAGAAAGGAGGUAAGCACUCGUAGACAAUUAGCAAACUAUUGUGAGCAUCACGCGUUUGUCUCUUGUGUCGAACCCCACAAGGUCUAUGAGGCGCUCGAAGAUCCGGAUUGGCUCAAUGCCAUGCAUGAAGAACUCAACAACUUCGAGCGCAACAAAGUGUGGAGAUUGGUGCCAAGACCGAUGGGGAACCACAAUGUCAUUGGAACCAAGUGGAUAUUUAAGAACAAGCAAGAUGCCCAUGGGAUUAUCAUUCGCAACAAGGCUCGUUUGGUAGCACAAGGCUACUCCCAAGUCGAGGGUAUCGACUACGGUGAAACCUUUGCUCUCGUUGCUCGUCUUGAAUCCAUUCGCAUGUUGAUUGCAUAUACUUCUCAUCAUAACUUUAAGUUACAACAAAUGGAUGUGAAGAGUGCUUUUCUUAAUGGUCCUAUUAAUGAAUUGGUUUAUGUUAAGCAACCCCCCGGGUUCGAGGAUCCCUACUUUCCCGAUCAUGUGUAUCAACUCGAUAAGGCACUCUAUGGCCUUAAACAAGCCCCAUGUGCGUGGUAUGACCACCUUACCGAGUUGUUACAAGACCGUGGUUUUGAAGUUGGGCUAAUCGACCCCACUCUUUUCACUAAGAAGGUCAAAGGGGAGUUGUUUGUGUGCCAAUUAUAUGUUGAUGAUAUUAUCUUUGGUUCCCCUAACAAAGCUUUCAAUGAGGAAUUUGCCACUCUCAUGACCUCAAAGUUCGAGAUGUCUUCCAUGGGAGAGUUGAAGUUCUUUCUAGGGUUCGAAGUGAAGCAAAGAAGAGAAGGAACCUUCAUCAACCAAGCCAAAUACACUCAAGACAUGCUCAAGAGAUUCAAGCUAAGUGAUGUCAAGCUGGCUUCCACUCCAAUGCCCACCAAGUGCCAACUUGACAUAGAUCCCAAUGGCAAAGCGGCGGAUCAAAAGUUAUAUUGUUCCAUGAUAGGCUCCUUGCUUUACCUUUGUGCAUCUAGACCGGAUAUCAUGUUGAGUGUGGGAAUUUGUGCACGGUUUCAAGCCGCACCUAAGGAAAGUCACUAUGUGGUGGUCAAACGAAUCUUUCGAUAUUUGGCUCAUACCCCAAACUUUGGCUUAUGGUACCCAAGAGGAGCAAACUUCAAGCUUGUAGGGUAUUCAGAUUCCGAUUGGGCGGGAGACAAAGUGGAUAGGAAGUCCACUUCCGGAGGGUGCCAAUUCCUUAGUUGCUCUUUGGUAAGUUGGUCUUCCAAAAAGAAAAGUUGUGUGUCUCUCUCGUCCAUCGAAGCGGAGUAUGUGGCGGCGGGUAGUUGUUGUGCACAACUCCUAUGGAUGAGGCAAACUUUAAAGGAUUACGGUGUCAUUUGUGACAAAGUACCUCUUUGGUGUGACAAUGAAAGUGCCAUCAAGAUCUCUCUCAACCCGGUGCAACACUUCAAGACGAAGCAUAUUGAGAUUCGGUAUCACUUCAUCCGGGAUCACAUUAGGCGAGGAGAGAUCGAGCUCAACUAUGUCAACACUCAUGAUAAUCUUGCAGAUAUUUUCACGAAUCCCUUGGAUGAAGCAAGAUUUCGCGAGUUAAGGCAUGAGCUAAAUAUCAUUGAUUCGAGCAAUGUUGCUUGAACCCUUGCACACCCCACCAUACUCAACUUGUUGUCUUGUUUAGAUGUAGGCAUGGACAUAGGGGGAGUGUUGUUCUCUCAAUGAACUCUCCUUCCCCCCUUUAUGCAUAAAUUGAUCGAGUCUUUCACAUUAGCCAUGUUUGAUGGUACUUGUGCUUCAAAGACGAGUUUUGGUCAUGGGCCCAAGGAUAAUUCUUCGCGAUGCCAUACCAAUUGACUCAAACAUAGGUGGCUCCGGCCACCGCCCUCUCUUUGGAGAGGUGGUGUCUCGUGGUUGUUUCGUGUUGUCGUUUGCCUUUCUGCCUUCGUGUGUCGCGUGGUCUUGUGGUGUCGUGUUGCCUCGAAGUUUUCGUGCAAAGACCUCUUUUUCGUGUGCUUGAAACUUGCAACUUUUUGAGCCCACGGUACUACUGCGGCUUGCCCGCGGUACUACCGCGUUGAGAGGGCACGGUACUACCACGCCAGAGAGCGGUACUACUGCUCAGGUGCGGUACUUCCGCCGAGCGGUACUACCGCGAUGAUACACGGUACUACCGCGCCGUCGAGUGGGCGUGGGGGUUAUGACUCGGGCAGGGGAGUUCCAACUCCCCAUAUCCAUUCACUUGUCUCUCUCCCCACGUCUCUCUCUCUCUCUCUCUCUCUCUCUCUCUCUCUCUCUCGCUCAAGAACGGCGCCGGAGGUCCUCGCCGGAUCUCCAUCUCCGGCCACUCUCCUAGGAUUCCGACCGGUGGGCUCGUUCCCCACCACUUCCUCUUGCCAUGGAACAAGGUUUUUCCCCAAAUCCCUCUCUUUCUUGGUUGUUCUCUCGCUUCUAGGUUUUUGGGGAGAUGCAUGUUGUUCUUGAGAUUUUAGGCCAAAUCUGUGCAAGAGUAGGAUGUAGGAGAGUCGUGUUGCGUAGGAAUCAUACUUUAUAUGUUGUCCUGUGAUAGAUUUGUCCAACCGUAGUACCACCGUGGUUUCGCGGGCUUUCUCAGAUUUGAACCGGUAACACAUUUGUACGUACUUCCUCUCAAAGGGAAGGAACUUCGGUAACACAUCCUCGUCUCCACCGGCUCCACUCUUGGUUAUCUCGUGCCUUUACUUGUGCAAGCUAAUUUGUGUUAUAUCUCUUGCUUGCUUGUGUUCCUAUCCUUGUUGCAUCAUAUAGGUUGCUCACCUAGUUGCAUAUCUAGACAACCUACUUUGAUGCAAAGUUUAAAUUGUUAAAGAAAAGCUAAAAAAUGUUAGUUGCCUAUUCACCCCCCCUCUAGUCAACCAUAUCGAUCCUUUCAAGGUGGAUGUGCAAGUUACAAAUCCGAGUCCAGUUAACGCUUCUGAUCAGGAUAUGCCAGACAUGGUAAAUGUUGCAGAGCAAGCAGAAGUUAUAACCACACCUUAUCAGAGAGACCCUGGUACAUGUUGUCAAAUUUGGGAGCUCCAACGGACAAGCAAGAUGACGCUCGACAUUUUUGUAUAUCUAAGGGAGCAUAUCGACCGGAGUUGGAAGCAGGGGAAUACCCAUUUGAUGAAAAGUCUAAACACCGCCGGCGAUUUCAGAAAGAUUGGUACACAAAUUUCUGGUGGCUUGAGUAUUCAACACACACUGAUAGCGCAUAUUAUUUGUCGUGCUUUCUCUUCUCAAAAAACCUGUUGGGAGAUGUGGGUCUGACACAUUAUCGGUCAAGGGUUUUAGAAACUAGAAAAAUGUUAAUGAUGGAAAAGCGUGUGCUUUUUCAACUCAUGUUGGGGGAGCAAAACACAUAUCAUGUGGUAAAUAAAAAUAUAGCCUCAAGUAAAGUUACCGAUGGACGAAGACGAAAGAGGGGAUGCCUUCUGGGGAAUCCCCAAGAUUAAGCUUUUGGCUGACCUUGAGUUUUACCUUGGGGUGCCUUGGGCAUCUCCAAGCUUAGGCUCUUGCCACUCCUUAUUCCAAAAUCCAUCAAAUCUUUACCCAAAAACUUGAAAACUUCACAACACAAAACUCAACAGAAAAUCUCAUGAACUCCUUUAGUAUAAGAAAACAAACCACCACUUCAAGGUACUGUAAUGAACUCAUUAUUUAUUUAUAUUGAUAUUAAAUCUACUGUAUUCCAACUUCUCUAUGGUUCAUACCCCUCGAUACUAGCCAUAGAUUCAUCAAAAUAAGCAAACAACACACGAAAAACAAAAUCUGUCAAAAACAGAACAGUCUGUAGUAAUAUGUAGGUUUCGAAUACUUCUGUAACUCCAAAAAAUCCUACCAAAUUAACACGACCUAAAUAAUUUGUAUAUUGAUCUACUACAAUUGGAAUCAUUAUUUUAUCGCUUUGUGGUUAAAAAUGAAAAUUAUUAUCGUGAGCGCAAACUUUCUGUUUUUUUCAGCAAGAUCAAAUAACUAUCAUCCAAGAAGAUCCUAAAGGCUUUACUUGGUACAAACACUAAUUAAAACAUAAAAACACAAUCAUAACAGUAGAUAGAUGAUUUAUUUAUUACUAAACAGGAACAAAAAAGUAAGGAACAAAAAUAAAAUUGGGUUGCCUCCCAACAAGCGCUAUCGUUUAACGCCCCUAGCUAGGUAUAAAAGUAAGAAUAGAUCUAGGUAUUAUCAUCUUUGGUUUACAAUUCUUCAAUAGAACACUUAUAACCCUUGGGAGUUUCCUUCUUUUUAUUAAUGAUCAAACUCCUAGGCAAGAAAUCAAGAAAUUCAUUUGUAGCAAAAGGUUCCUUAAUGAUAGCGAAAAAGUUGGGGUGAACACUUAUUGAUUUGAGAUCUGCAUUUUCCUUACUAGAAGAUUCACCUUUACUUUUAGGCACAUAAAAAUAGGGGGGUGCCACAUUGAGUAUAUAGGUAUCCCCCCGAAGAGCCCUAUUCUUGACCGAUCAAUCAUUUUAGUCGCCCACAAAACAUAUCCGGCAACCAACCAUGAUUUAUGGCAAUUGACGCUUGCUCCCUAUCAAAACCGCUGAGCUAAAUUAGGUCCCUUAACCAUUGAAUUGGAUAAUUAUUGGUGUUUCAAUUUUUGACUCAUACAAGUGUAAGGAUUUCAAUAAAAAAAUCAUGGUCCAUAUAUUGGUUGAUCAUUUUUUACAAGUAUUACGCUUUUAACCGUUCAUGCACAAGAAAGUAGAAACAAAAGAAUAUUUUAUAAUAAAGUAGAAAUAAAAGAAUAUUUUAUGAGCAGUUCACUAUCUUUUAGUUGUAACAUUAAAGUAGGUUUAAGUUGGUACUUACGUGACAAGAGAAUUAAGGGUGAAACAAUGUGCCUAGGUUUAAUUUGAAAAUGAGAAAGUUGUUGUUAAGACGAAUCUUGAUAGCAUCACUUGACUAUAUCAAUCAUGCAUGUGUAAGUGUUCUCUCGUUGCAAUGGACAUGUACAUACUUGAGUUAGAGAUGUGCAAUUUUUUUCCGUUGCAAUGCAUGGGCAUAUUUACUAGUCCUACUCUUAACGAUGAAACAUGAUUUUAGUCAAGUCGAUUAUAAUAUGACGCAUGGGUGAAUCUGUUGCCUUGUAACCAUAAGGUCACGGGUUUGAGUCAUGAAAACAACCUCUUGGUGAAAUGCAGGGAAAGGUUGCAUACAAAAGGCUCAAAGUGGUCGUACCCUUGUCCAGACCCUGCACAUGCAGGAGCUACGUGCACCAAGCUGCAUUUUUAACUAUAAUAUGACAGAAGAACUCAAUGGUAGAAAAAAGUAGGUAUUUGUGACAUGCAACAAGCUAUGUGUGUUUUGCUAUAGUCGCGUGCAAGUGACAUGGUGUGGUGACUUUGUUUGUCAACCGUAAAUGGUGCGUUCAUGUUGAGUGUAUUUUUGCGGUGCCACAAACACUAGUUUCCGUGUUGCUUGCAUGUUGUGGUUUUUUUCCCAACAAUUUGUUGCGAUCAACAGACUUGUUGCAUAGACAUAAUUUUUUGUUGCAUAUGUUGUUUUGAAAUGUUCUUCGGUCGGGUGGGGGCAAGGGGCCGGUUAUUUCGCCAACCACCUAACCAACAGAAAAGGAUAUAUCUCUACUACUCGUUUGUUUUUCCUCCCAUACAAAUACCCAAAUCAAAUCAACCUCCUUCCUCGAUUUUUACUCCGCACGACCCCCUCCCUCCUUGAUUUUUUGUUGAUUGUUUGGUACUCUCAACCGACGUUGCACAAAAUUAAAACCAACAUAAAUAGAGUAACUUGGAAUAAUCUAAACCAAUCAAUACUUUUCAGAAAUCAUGUGUCGCAUUAACACAAUCAAAUCAAAUCUUCCCAAAUUCACAACUAGAUCCAAACUUUCCUUUUCUUCCCAUACAAUCACCCAAAUCAAAUCAAAUCUUACCAAAAUCUCAACCAAAUUAAAACUUUCCUUGCAUUCCCUACCCAUGCUAAAAUCAAAUUAAAUCUUAUCAAAAAUCUAGAAUAUGUGUUAGAUACAGGGUCUGCCUAGGGCACAUCUAGUUAUCGCACAUCUAAGUGACUUAAUCAAAGCAUAAAAGGAAGACAAAAUAUCCACACGAAUCUCCGCGUAGGAUUAUGUAUGGCGCCCGUUGAAACACACGGGGGAAUUAGCUAGUAGCAGUAAGAAAUAAGAAAAGAAACUCCCCGCAAAAAAAAGGAGAGAUAAGAAAAACCAAAAUGCAAAUGCAUGUAGGAGUAGAUACCUAUUUUGUUUUGUUUUGCGGGAAUGCAUCUACGUACAUGACUGGAUUGUGACGUGCCCUUUACAUCUUGCCGUUCAAGAACGAGAUAGAUUUGGGGUUCUAGAUUCCUGCCAGGAACCCAAACCCACCACAACUCUUCUUCAAAUCAAAUCAAAUCAAACAACCGACAUAUCCAACACGGUAGGCUCCCGCCUUUGAAUUGAAUUCGCCAUCAGAUAAGAUUACCCUUCUGGAAGGCAAUUCGUUGCACGCACGAACGUCCCCGUACAUCUCCUCCGCCUAUAAAAGGUCUCGUACAUCUCCACCCUCCCACGAGUCCACGACAUCGAAAACCCAAAACCCAGAGCUAGCUAGCCGAUCGAUCUACGCGCCAUGGAGACGUCGCUCCUCAUCGCCGGCGCCCUCCUCCUCCUCUCCCUCGUCGCCCUGCUCCGCAACGCCGCCGCCCGACGCCGCCUCCCGCCGGGCCCGCCGGCGUUGCCGCUGUUCGGCAACCUGCUCUGGCUGCGCAACUCGGCGUCCGACGUGGAGCCCCUCCUCCUGGGCCUCUUCAAGCAGUACGGCCCCAUCGUGGCGCUCCGGAUCGGGUCGCGGCUGUCCGUCUUCGUGGCCGACCGGCACCUCGCGCACAAGGCCCUCGUGGGCGCCGGCGUGGCGCUGGCCGACCGCCCGCGCGCCGCCACCAGCUCGCUCCUCGGCGUCACGGACAACAUCAUCACCCGCGCCAACUACGGGCCCGUGUGGCGCCUCCUGCGCCGCAACCUCGUCUCCGAGACGCUCCACCCCAGCCGCGUCAAGCUGUUCGCGCCGGCGCGCGCCUGGGUGCGCCGCGUGCUCAUGGAGAAGCUGCGGGAGGAGGACACGCCCGACGUCAUGGAGGCGUUCCAGUACACCAUGUUCUGCCUGCUCGUGCUCAUGUGCUUCGGCGAGCGCCUGGACGAGCCCGCGGUGCGCGCCAUCGAGGAGGCCGAGCGCGCCUGGCUGCUCUACAUCUCCAGGAAGCUCACUGUCUUCUUCUUCGUCCCGGCCGUCACCAAGCACCUCUUCCGCGACCGCCUCCGCGUCGCGCACGCCCUGCGGAUGCGCCAGAGGGAGCUCUUCGUGCCGCUCAUCCAUGCGCGGCGGGAGUACAAGCGGCUGGUCGGCGAGGGCCGGGCGCCGGCCAAGGAGACCACGUUCGAGCACUCGUACGUGGACACGCUGCUCGACGUCACGCUCCCCGAGGAGGGCAACCGCCCGCUCACCGACGACGAGAUCGUGGCGCUCUGCUCCGAGUUCCUCAACGCCGGCACCGACACCACCUCCACGGGGCUGCAGUGGAUCAUGGCGGAGCUGGUCAAGAACCCGGCCGUGCAGGACAGGCUCUACGAGGAGAUCAAGGCCACCUGCGGGGAGGACGGCGCGGAGGAGGUCUCGGAGGAGAAGAUGGACGCGGCCACCAUGCCGUACCUCAAGGCGGUGGUCCUGGAGGGCCUGCGCAAGCACCCGCCGGGGCACUUCGUGCUGCCGCACAAGGCGGCGCAGGACAUGGACGUGGGCGGGUACCUGAUCCCCAAGGGCACGACGGUGAACUUCAUGGUGGCGGAGAUGGGCCGGGACGAGGGGACGUGGGACAAGGCCAUGGAGUUCGCGCCGGAGCGGUUCCUGGAGGCCGGCGACAAGCUGGCGGCGGUGGACCUGUACGGCAGCAAGGGGAUCAAGAUGAUGCCGUUCGGCGUGGGGCGGAGGAUCUGCGCGGGGCUGAGCAUCGCCAUGCUGCACCUCGAGUACUUCGUGGCCAACAUGGUCAAGGAGUUCGAGUGGAAGGAGGUGGCCGGCCACGAGGUGGACUUGGCCGAGAAGCGCGAGUUCACCACCGUCAUGGCCAACCCGCUGCGCCCGCGCCUUGUGCCCAGGAACUGAAAAAACAGUAGUCUAUAUUUCCUUUUAGCUUAAUUUGCACGAGAUGUUUUGCGUGUGUGAUUAGAUUAUCAUAAUGAACAUGUCUACUACCUAGUUUAAGAUUUAUUUCAGAGAGAAAUGUUUAGAGCUAGCAAGGAACAUUGUUGGAGUUUCAGUUUAUAAUGCAGUGUCUAGGUUUGCCAAUUGUAAUGUUUUUUGUUUCCUGAUUCAGAUUACAAUGGUGACCUAAGUUACCCAUGGGCAGCGGAGCAUGAUAAUGAUAAUAAUAAUAACAAAAGCAUUCAUCAACACAAGAUCUAUGAAUUAGGAAAAGAUCCCAUUCUGAUCUCGGCAGGCUGGUUGGCCAGAUUUGUAUAACACUAGUUUUUAGGUUGUUUGUAAUUUACCUCUGCAUCAUGACUUACUAACACAAUUUUCACAGUAGGCAGAUCACCUCCUGUUUUCUACUAAAAAAUCAUACAUUUUUCCUCCUUCAUCAAAAAGAAAAUUUUCUGAUGAAUAUUUCAGUCAUCCAAUCUAGAACACAAGCAUAUUCUAGCAUGAGUUCUGCUUUAUAUUGGAUAUGGCAGAUAACUGCAACAAAAAAGGUAUGCUCUACAUCAACACAUACCGUGAUAACCAAUACUAUCAAAUCAACAUGUAUGCCAGUGAGAGGUCCGUUUUCUAGUUAUGCAGAAGCAUUUAAUAAGACUCACAAGUUUCCCAUCAUCAGCAUGCAAAUAUCCAAUCAAGCAUAUCCCAGAUUUGAUGAAUACACAGCGGAACAUGUCAGAACAAAACACUUUGGGCAAUAACAUUUUUGCAAAGAACAUAAGCAUCAUCUCUCUCUCUCUCGCAGCUCACAAGUAGCGUUGGAUUUUCGAGAAAAGCUAAUCUCCCAUGCACCGGAGGUACCGUGCAUGCAUGCGCCGUUGGUUUGCUUGGAGAUCGAUGCCAUGCAUUUAUACCGCUGGCAGUUAGUUAGUUAUUUCUCUCAUCACAUGCAAGUACACUGUUUCACCUAUGUUCCAUCAUCCCAUGUUUUUCAUUUUAUUUCCAAGUUCAAAUAUAAUUUGUCUUAUGAACCAAAAGUACAAUUUAUGAUCCGUUUUCAUAUUUGUGUUUUUGACGACGAGACCUUUGAAAUGAGACCACUUUUGAAUAAAUUUCAAUAAAUUUUAAAAUUUAAAUUCUGAAACAUAGUGAAACACUAUAAGAGUACACAUAACUAUGCCAUGUUUUGUUAAACACUAGAUAAGGUCAAAGUUUUGUUGCAAUAAAAUAUAUUAAUAUUUACAAACUCUUAGAUUACUAAGAAUCAGUUUGAUACACAUUGGCACACAAUGUAUCAUUAUGAAAUGCAACGGAACAUGGGGAGCCAUAGUGAAAUAAUAAGAUAAUAAUUUUGUGAAAUACAUUAUUAAAAUUUUCACAUGGAAUUAAUAAAUAUGUAUGGAACAAGUUCGAAGCAUGGUGAUUUAGUUGUCAAAAAUUAAUUUCUAAAAAUAUAUUCAAUAUUGGUCUUGUUUUAAAGACUUUGUAAAAAACUUAAUUGUGCAAACAGAAUGUAAAACAAACUUUUGUUUCAACAUGCAUUAGGCAUCUAUUUAUUUAAAUGAAACCUUGUCAGUACAGAUUAACAUGUGAAUGUAUGUUAGGUGAGAGAAAAUAGAGGCCCCACACAGCAAUAAAAAAUGUGAUGGAUGCAUGCACGGGAGGUCCCGUGCAUGGUAGAAAAUCCACUCUCUUGGAUUUUCUGAUAGGUGUGCAACUACAAUUCUCCGAAAUAUGUAAGAACAUAUGUCCUUUCAAAAAGAAUUGCAUCAGCCGAAAGAACAACCCCAGAAUGGUCCACAGAAUUUCCCUAAAAUAAGAGCUCUUGUCUCACAGGUCCCACCUUCAACUCUGUUGUUGGUCAAAUUUAAGGAACCUGCAAGACAAAGUACUUCCUCUGUAAACUAAUAUAAGAGUGUUUAGAUAACUAAAGUGGUGAUCUAAACGCUCUUAUAUUAGUUUACGGAGGGAGUAGUAAAUAGAAAUAGGUUUAGUGAUGACAUACUUGGGGAACGCUUCUGUUGAAGGAUUACUGGAUAGCAUUGCAAUUUUGGUGAUAAGUCAAUAUACUGCAUGGUCACUUGGUAAGAAAUAGCAAGCACCAUGCUUCAGUUCAGUCAUGAUUUGUUGAUAACAUUUCAGCACAUUAUUAAUGAAAGACAAAUCCUUAUCGUGGUGAAGAAGCAUGCAUCUUUUAGCUUUCCCCUAAUUUUAUGUCUGGGAUAAGUCAGACCGGGUAAUAUGUAGUAGUUCAGACAAGGCAAUACUACCCUGUGUAGCAGUCCAGCACUGAAGACAAAACCAGCGAUUAUAAGAGCCAAAAAGAUGUAGAAGCCAAAUAGGUCAACAUGGUACUGGUUCGUUGACUGGUCGCAACAUAUUCAAGCAUCAUAUGUGCAGCAUGAUUGGAGAGAAGGAAGUGUCCUGUCAUGCAAUCAUCCACGAUUUGUACAUACAAUCCUGACAAGUUCGAUUUAAGGAUAACAAUGAUGGAGUAUAACUAUUGAACAAUUAAGAUGACCAGUUCAACAUACAGAUUUGGAAACAUGAACGAUGCUUUCUUGUUUCUGCAAGUAACACAUUUUACGGGCAGUGUAGGAGAAAUGCAGAAUCAUGCCACAAGAAAGAACAAUAUAUGAAAAAAAAAUCAAACGAAACAGGAAAGGUACCCAAACAAGAAAAGAGUUACUUAAGAGAGGGAGUACCGGAGAUAAGUUAGUUGUCACGUUUCAGUUUGUCUAGCAUUUGUCUACGCGAACCAGCAUGUCUGCCAAACUCUUCCUUUUGCAAUCGGCCUUGUUGCUUGAAAGGGUUCCUUCAGUUAAUAGAUACAAGAACUUGAAUAAAAAUGACACGCAGCAACAAGAGCAAUAUAUGUGCAUCCUUACAUCAAGCCUUCAAUGGAAAACAACAUAUAGGCAUUUAACAGGACAAUUCUGUAUCUAUAUGCUGACAUUAAUUAGAUCGGCAAAAUAUAUUUUAGUAACAUCAUAGACAAUCUGAUAACCAAUGCAAUCAAUGAAAUACAUCAGAUUCUCUAGCAAUGCCAGAUUCCACCUUUGAUAUUGUAAAAAGGUUAAAAAAAACAAUGCUAACAAUGGCCAAUUUAUAAUUCAGAAAAGUACUCCCUCCGUUCGGAAUUAUUUGUCUCGGAUAUGGAUGUAUCUAGAAUCAAAAUACGUCUAGAUACAUCUAUUUCUGCGACAAGUAAUUCCGAACGGAGGGAGUAUGAGCCUAUGUGCAAUUAUUAUACCCCAAUGUGUAAGAUAUCAUCACACCCUUCAGAAACUUCAAUACAAAUGCAACUGGUGUAUGUUAACAAACUAAAUCCUGUGAAAUCUAACAAACUGGUUAUAGGACAGUAAAAUUUGGAUUGAAUGAUUGAGUACCAAGUGUAUGAAUCUUAUAUUUACCUGCAGAAGGGAUAUGGCUUGUGGCAAGCCAUGUUGGGAGCACGCACGGAACAAGAAGACUACAGUGGAGCAACUUCUGAAAGGCGAAUUCCUUGGCCAGGUAACCCCUCCAAAUCUCCUCCCCCUCAGCCAGGUCCAUGGCAAUAACAGCACUACCAUGUUGGAGGUACACAAGGUCGGCAUUGAAUGGAUCUAUGGCAGCAAUUUGAACAUAGCAAGGGUCGUGCCGACCUGUAAUUUCAACUCCCUGAUCCAGCGCCCAGCUGUAGGUCUCGUCAUCCAGCGAAAAGGAAAGGAUCACGCACCACUUGUCGUGCUUGUGUCCAUGGGACACUUGGACGUAGCGCAGCUUCCCGUCGCUGACCCCCAUGCGCCGGUACCUGCUCAGCGUCGGGGAAUCAGAAACACCCGUCGCUGACCCCCAUGCGCCGGUACCUGCUCAGCGUCGGGGAAUCAGAAACAGGCAGCACGCUGGAGCGCGGCAGCUCGGCGAAGCGGCGCUCCGGCCGGUCGCUGAAGGGGUCGACGGAGCAGGCGCCCCAGGCCACGUCCACCCACCACAGCCGGUCGCCGAACGCCAGCACCUCAUGGUUGAUCAGCAUGCUCCGCGCAGUGUCCAUCUCGGCCACCCCGACCAGCGGCCGCUCGUCCCACUCCCCUGUCUCGGACAGAAACCGGCGCACGACCCUGCGGCACUCCCCUCCCCCGCGACUGCUUUUGCUGAGCUGAGCGACGGCGUACCUGUCAGGCGGGCCGUGUGAGCCUUGAGAUUGGGUGAGCAGGCCGAAAGAGGUACUUCCCAUUUUGGGGACAUCCAUGCCCGGGGCCGGGAGGCGGACCAGCUGCCCGCUGAGAGGGUUGCAGACGAAGAGCUCGCCCUCCGGUUCCACGCCGCCGCGGGCCGCGGCGAACUCGUGUGGCCACAAGGGGCGGUGGCGGGCGUCGAUGAAGUCGAGGAGGAGGAGGCCGUCGCAGCUGGCGCCGCGGACGAUGCCCACGAGGGAACCCAUGUCGUCGCCGUGGGGGGCGACGAGGCGAGCGGGGACGGAGAGGUGGGAGACGCAGGGGGUGCUGUUGAGGUCGACGAGCGCGCGCGCGCUCUGCGACGGCGCCCCUGACGCGUCCAGCGCCGCCUGGCUGUUCACCAUGGCCCAGGGAGGGCGUGGGACCGCCGUGCAGAGGUAGCGGCGGAGGGGAGCCGCGGCGGCGACGGCGGCGACGAGGCGCUGGAGCAGGAGCGGCAUUUUGCUUCUGGAGGAGCCGGUGACGCUGUGUGUGGCAGGCUGGCGGUACGAUCUACGGUGGAAUGGAGGGCUUUGUGGUUCUGCCCUUGAGUCACCUGGGGAUGGAAAAGAAGGGGGUUUGGUGCACAUGGUCUCGGUCCAUACGGCUCUGACAGCUUUAGGCGAAAGGAGGGGUCUUGGAGUCAGCUCGAAUCGUCUCGUGGAGGAGAGGACAGGAUGGGUGAGCCUAUACCUGGCCAAAACUCGGGCCGGGCCGGGCCUAGCCAAGCCCAAGUCAAAAAACCUAGGCCUGAGCCCGGCCCGGUCAUCGGGCUUGGUUUUUAGGCCCGAGCCUAGCCCAAACACAUAAAAGGCCGAGUAAAAAAACCCAGGCUCAAGCCCGGCUUGGUUUUUAGGCCCGAGCCUGGCCCGAACACAUAAAAUCCCGACGGGCCUCGGGCCAGGCCUCUUCAGGAAAUUGCAAAAAUGAAGGGCCCAGGCCCGGCCUUCGGGCUCAAAAUCUAGGCCCAAGCUUGGCCCGGGAGCAGCGUCGGGCGGGGCCGGGCUUCCCAUGGCCGGGACUAGGUGAGCCGGUGAAGUUCGAGCUCUUAAGUUUUCUUUAAAAAAAGUAUUCCCUCCGUUCCUAAAUAUAAAUCUUUCUAGAUAUUUUAAAUUGACUACAACAUACGGAUGUAUGUAGCGAUAUUUUAGAGUGUAGAUUCACUCAUUUUGCUUAGUAUAUAAUCACUUGUUGGAAUUUCUAGAAAGACUUAUAUUUAAAAACGGAGGAAAUACAUCUAGGUAUACCAUGGCUUUAUAAAAGAUAGAAUGCCAAUUAUAAAAAAAACUAGCACUCACUACGAAUAAUAAAAUGUAGUACGCACAUCAAUCAAGUAAGAUCAAAGACGAACACCACUGAAAAGCAAACUACAACACAAAAGCGUCUAUUCUAGCUAAUACACAACACCGCAUCACGACCGACGCCGGUCAUCUUCAAAGACCACCAAAUUCCGCAGAACUUCUCUUGACGAUGCACCAUCCACUUUGAGCACCUAAGAGAAAAAUGGCAAGUGUAUGGCAAGACCCGAUCCAAUCCAAAGAAAACACCGUCUUGGGCACACCGGCGGCGGGCGUACAUGGCACCACCGAGGAUCAAGAAAGGACAUCGGCGAGCAUCGGAGAACAACAACAAGGAAGUAGUCAUGUCUCCAAACACCAUGCUCUCAACAGAGGAAUAACGUUAAGGACGCCGCCAUCAUCUCGAUCCACCACCGAAUCGAGGCUUUCACCUUGAGACAGCCACCAACCCAAGAGAGCGAGGGGAAUGACGAACACGCUUCGACGAUGCCUCCAAGGAGGGGAAUGACAACCACAGGUGCCACCGCCGCGGGCCGGGCGAUGUCCGUGCAAGAUUUUCAACCACGCUUCGCACCUCAUCACACCUCCAGGGACUUGGCGACACCAUCCAAGUAGCCUCACAUCAUCGCCACUGUAACACCUAGUUGACUUAGCCGCAAAGCCGAGGGUUGGAGACCGGCCACACGCGCAACAGGGGGGGACGUGGCCACAGCACCAUCUCCCGCCCUGCAUGGAGAACCGCAGCCACCCGCUCCUCCGGCAAUGUGCAGGACCGCCCGCGACGACCAUCUCCCACUCCACGGGACAGCUUUGUGAUGGCUAGACAUGCCUCACCACGAAGAACACACAUAUUGACACCAUCCGGAGAGCACCGCCACUCGCCACACUACGGAGGGGUGAUCGGUCGCUUGCUGCUCGCUAGGACCCCAGUCUGGCCAAGCCAUCUCAGCGCCGUCACCCACGUGAUCUUGAGCUCAUGCCGCCUCCUCCACCAUCGACGUGCUACUGCACCGCCGCCGGUCCCCGCCAGACCUGCCGCUCCACCACGCCUCCAGUCAAGCUCAAGUUGCUGCCCUCACGCCUGGCCAGCUUGGAUCUAACUCGGCCCUCAUAGAGAAGACGAAAGGAGAAAGGUGAGUUCGAAUUUAGAAAUCCAAAAUCAUCACCACCCAUGCUUUUUCCUCAACAAAACUAUUCUUUUUUUUAGUGUACUCAACAAAACUACUCUCUUUCAGAGUCAAAAUGUUGUAACCUGGCCCAUCUGCGAGUACAAAGUAGCCCAUGGGCCGUAUACAGUCUUGUCUAAAUAAAGCGGUGAUUUUUAAAUUUUUGCUAGUAGCAUAGCAGUAUUAGAGGCAAUAGCAAUUAUACAAUGUGAGUUGUUCAUACAACAGUAUCUACUUUUUUCGUUUCUUGUUCUUGGUUCCUUUGAGUAACUCCCCCCUCCCCCACCUAAAUCAGACAGUGAUAUAAGGAUGCGUUUGAUUACUCACAUUGAUUUUGGGCACUUUGCAUAUGUGGCCCAGUUGACCCCUGUUUGAGGGUAUGCAGACUCUGGACCACGUUCUGCAUAUUAUUUGGUACCUUGCACUCGCACCACUAAGCAUGGGUGACCGCGGGACUUGCUACCACUCCGCCCAAGUCAUGUUAGUGAUAAGUUGUAGGUGCGCGUUGUACUUGAGGCGAUUCAAGCCAAUUUUCGUUGAGUUUUCUUUUCUUUUUGGGGGGUUUGGUUUUCUUAUUUCUUCUCAUUUUUUCAUACUUUUUUGCACUUUGUUUCUUCAUUUUUUUUCAUUUCUUUUUCUUUUCUUUUCUUUAUUUUUUGGUUUUCUUUGUUCUUUUGGUUAGUAUUUUAUAUUUCUUGUAUACGUCAAUAACAUUUUUCUAAUACACAUCUAACAUUUUUUAGUACUUGUUCAACAUAUUUCAAAUACUUUUUCAACAUUUUUAUAUACCGGAUCAAUAUUUUUUUUCAAAUACUUAUGCAACAUUUUCCAAAUACUUAUUCAACAUUUUUAUAUACAUGAUCAACAUUAUUUCAAAUACUUAUUCAACAUUUUUUCAAAUACUUGUUCAAUAUUUUUCAAAUACUUGUUCAACAUUCUUAUAUACAUGAUCAAUAUUUUUUCAAAUAGUUGUUCAACAUUUUUUUAGAUACUUGUUCAACAUCUUUUAAAUAUUUGUUUAACAUUUUUCAAAUGCAUGAUUAAUAUUUUUCUAAAUAUUAUGUAAGUUAUAUUUUUUAAUAUUUUUUUGACUAUUUGAAAGUGUAAACAAAAUAAAAAAUGGAAUCAAAAAACGAAAUAAAAAUGUGAAAAAAAAAUAGAAAAGAAAACGAGGCAGUGUAGUACCCGCGAACCUGGGCGGUUCAUAAGGUCACGCGCUUUAGCGAGUCAGAAGCCUCGACUUGCUGAACGCGAGACAUAGCGAUGCCCCUGUUUCAGGGUCAAAAUGUUGUACACCUGGGGCAUCUGCGAGUACAAAGUAGCCCAUGGGUUGUAUACAGUCCUGCCUAAAUUAUCUGUCAAUCCUGAUAAAACGAACCGGAUAAUGGGCCCGUCGGAUAGAACCGCACGAUAAAUAGUACAAGACACAAAACACAAGACUUGUCGAGAAAAUAAGUUACAAAAAAAAACAC
rnacentral:lncRNA from 1 species